rnacentral:rRNA from 1 species
CACGUAGGGUGCGAGCGUUGUCCGGAAUUAUUGGGCGUAAAGAGCUCGUAGGCGGUGUGUCGCGUCGGCCGUGAAAACCUGCAGCUUAACUGUGGGCUUGCGGUCGAUACGGGCAUCACUGGAGUUCGGCAGGGGAGACUGGAAUUCCUGGUGUAGCGGUGAAAUGCGCAGAUAUCAGGAAGAACACCUAUGGCGAAGGCAGCUCUCUGGGACGGUACUGACGCUGAGGAGCGAAAGCGUGGGGAGCGAACAGG